UUCAUUUCCUUUUCUCUGCUACAAUGGCCGGCUAGACUGCAGCAAAGGAACAACCAAAGUCACCAUUUCUUUUCUUCUAAAACUCAACCAAAUUCCUACCAAAACUUCCAUAGAUUCUCACCAAACUUCACAUUCGUUUAGCUUUUCACUUGGACAACAACUUAGGCUGGAAAAGGGAGGAGUUUCACGACUGUCUUCAGGCUUCAUAGGGACCGAAAUUUUCUGAUUUGAACAGCCAUCAAAGCACGCACGAGGACCUCCAAGAGGACCCUACUGUGGAAGUUUGAACUCUUCCUCCAAUUUACUUGCUUGCAUAACUUGGUUGAAUUCGGAGGUAAAAUGGAGCAGCCUCUUGAUGUACUUUUGUUUUAGGGUUGCUAAUACUUUUGUUUAUGCCUUCGGCUUUGGAUUGUACUUUUGGUAUGGAAAUGUAACCUUUGGACGAAUUGUAUUUUGUGUACUGACGUGUGGUUUGGAGAAUGGUUGACUAUUAUUAAGUUUGAACGUUUCCUCA